AUGGAGAUCAACCCCAACAAGUUCAUCGACAUUCGGCGCAAGUGGAGAGUUCCAUACACCGGAAAAGAGUACGACUCCUUGACUGAUGUUGCAGCCAGCGUCAUCCACCCAUUCUACACAGGCAUGAAGAACAAGAUUAACCCGAAGGAAGACUACAAACUGUGGGGGACCAGCGAGCUGCCAGACAACCUCAUCGAAAUCACCAUUGCCGCUUCCAUCUACACUGCACACAAACCAAAAACUUCUCUCUCCCAAAGCCCACAGUCGCCGGAGCAAGGCGAUGGCGGAGGAACCGUCCGCCAAACGUCACCAUGGCGACACAUCAAACAAGAGCAGCAACCUCGCCGACGUUCACGUCCCCGGUGA
rnacentral:rRNA from 1 species